rnacentral:rRNA from 1 species
GACGAACGCUGGCGGCGUGCUUAACACAUGCAAGUCGAACGGCAAGGCGCUGCUUUUGUUGGGGGCUCGAGUGGCGAACGGGCGAGUAACACGUGAGUAACCUGCCUUUGACUUUGGGAUAACUUCAGGAAACUGGGGCUAAUACAGGAUAGGUGCUCCUGCUGCAUGGUGGGGGUUGGUAAGUUUCGGCGGUUGGGGAUGGACUCGCGGCUUAUCAGCUUGUUGGUGGGGUAGUGGCUUACCAAGGCUUUGACGGGUAGCCGGCCUGAGAGGGUGACCGGCCACAUGGGGACUGAGAUACGGCACAGAGUCCUACGGGAGGCAGCAGUGGGGAAUAUUGCACAAUGGGGGGAAGCCGGAUGCAGCAACGCCGCGUGCGGGAUGAUGGCCUUCGGGUUGUAAACCGCUUUCGCCUGUGACGAAGCGUGAGUGACGGUAAUGGGUAAAGAAGCACCGGCUAACUACGUG